UACGGAGGGUGCAAGCGUUAUCCGGAUUUACUGGGUUUAAAGGGUGCGUAGGCGGGUUGGGAAGUCAGUGGUGAAAUACUUUCGCUUAACGAAGGAACUGCCAUUGAUACUAUCAAUCUUGAAUGUAGUGGAGGUAGGCGGAAUGCGUCAUGUAGCGGUGAAAUGCUUAGAUAUGACGCAGAACACCAAUUGCGAAGGCAGCUUGCUGCACUACUAUUGACACUGAGGCACGAAAGCGUGGGGAUCAAACAGG
rnacentral:rRNA from 1 species